rnacentral:lncRNA from 1 species
UAGGAGUGCUGGGGCUGCAGAAAACAUCCCAGCUCUGGCAGGAGGCUUAGCUGGCUGAAUGAUCAACUCCAUGAACAGUCCUCAGGUUCUGUCUCAUGACAACGAAUUCUGGAACAGUGACUUAAGAAAAGCAAUAAGGCAUUUAAGCAAGCUGUUGUCCCUGGAAAGUAAGUGCCUUUAGGAAUGUAUCUCACAACCUUGUGGGUGGGUAUUUAGAUAGCCAGUUGGAAGCAGUGAGUGGACAGUGCCCUGUGGGGUUUCUGGAACACCUCUGUCCCUAUCAUACCCUAUACCCCCUAUACCAUAGCCCCUAUCACAGCCUGGAUCAGGUGAAGGGCUGGGAGGGAGUGCAUGCUCUGACAUUCAGUUGGAGCAUUCAGAUGUGAUACGUGAAAUACCUUUCUGAAUUCAGUGAGAUAACUUAGGACAUUUUUAACAUUGGGAUGAAAAUAUUCAAAACUUUGUCAGCAUUGUGAUGAUUGUAGAGAUUUCCUCAUCUCUUCCCAGAUAUGCACCAGAAGAAAAAACUCAAUUAUAGAUACUAGGCCACUGAAAGGAUCAUAAAAAUGCUGCAGUGUCAAGGAGUUUAUUAAAAUCAACUUUGAUAUUCUGACAAAAAUUUCACUGA